rnacentral:rRNA from 1 species
GGAUUAGGCAUGCAAGUCGAGCGAGAAUCGUAGCAAUACGAGGACAGCGGCGCAAGGGACAGUAAUGUGUAGAUCAUCUGCCCUCAGGUCCGGGAUAGCUGCGGGAAACUGCAGGUAAUACCGGAUAACAUCUCCGGAUCAAAGGUGUGAUUCCGCCUGAGGAUGAGUCUGCAUCCUAUUAGCUAGUUGGCAGGGUAAUGGCCUACCAAGGCUUUGAUGGGUAGCGGGUGUGAGAGCACGACCCGCGUCAUUGGGACUGAGACACUGCCCAGACACCUACGGGUGGCUGCAGUCGAGAAUCUUCGGCAAUGGGCGCAAGCCUGACCGAGCGACGCCGCGUGUGGGAUGAAGGCCUUCGGGUUGUAAACCACUGUCAGAGGGGAUGAAAUGCAGGUGGGUUCUCCCAUCUGUUUGACAUAGCCUCAGAGGAAGGACGGGCUAAGUUCGUGCCAGCAGCCGCGGUAAGACGAACCGUCCAAACGUUAUUCGGAAUCACUGGGCUUAAAGGGUGCGUAGGCGGCGCGGAAAGUUGGGUGUGAAAUACCUCGGCUCAACCGAGGAACUGCGCUCAAAACUACCGUGCUCGAGGGAGAUAGAGGUGAGCGGAACUUAGGGUGGAGCGGUGAAAUGCGUUGAUAUCCUAAGGAACACCGGUGGCGAAAGCGGCUCACUGGAUCUCUUCUGACGCUGAGGCACGAAAGCUAGGGUAGCGAACGGGAUUAGAUACCCCGGUAGUCCUAGCCGUAAACGAUGAGCACUGGAUUGGAGGGUCCUCCAUAGCCUUCCAGUCGCAACGAAAGCGUUAAGUGCUCCGCCUGGGGAGUAUGGUCGCAAGGC